rnacentral:rRNA from 1 species
AGUCGAGCGGAGUGAUGGUGCUUGCACUAUCACUUAGCGGCGGACGGGUGAGUAAUGCUUAGGAAUCUGCCUAUUAGUGGGGGACAACAUUUCGAAAGGAAUGCUAAUACCGCAUACGUCCUACGGGAGAAAGCAGGGGAUCUUCGGACCUUGCGCUAAUAGAUGAGCCUAAGUCGGAUUAGCUAGUUGGUGGGGUAAAGGCCUACCAAGGCGACGAUCUGUAGCGGGUCUGAGAGGAUGAUCCGCCACACUGGGACUGAGACACGGCCCAGACUCCUACGGGAGGCAGCAGUGGGGAAUAUUGGACAAUGGGCGCAAGCCUGAUCCAGCCAUGCCGCGUGUGUGAAGAAGGCCUUAUGGUUGUAAAGCACUUUAAGCGAGGAGGAGGCUACUGAAGUUAAUACCUUCAGAUAGUGGACGUUACUCGCAGAAUAAGCACCGGCUAACUCUGUGCCAGCAGCCGCGGUAAUACAGAGGGUGCAAGCGUUAAUCGGAUUUACUGGGCGUAAAGCGCGCGUAGGCGGCUAAUUAAGUCAAAUGUGAAAUCCCCGAGCUUAACUUGGGAAUUGCAUUCGAUACUGGUUAGCUAGAGUGUGGGAAAGGAUGGUAGAAUUCCAGGUGUAGCGGUGAAAUGCGUAGAGAUCUGGAGGAAUACCGAUGGCGAAGGCAGCCAUCUGGCCUAACACUGACGCUGAGUGCGAAAGCAUGGGGAGCAAACAGGAUUAGAUACCCUGGUAGUCCAUGCCGUAAACGAUGUCUACUAGCCGUUGGGGCCUUUGAGGCUUUAGUGGCGCAGCUAACGCGAUAAGUAGACCGUCUGGGGGAGUACGGUCGCAAGACUAAA